UUCAAUGAGAAGAAGAUGGGUUCUAUCAGCUUGGAAUAUGGGAUCGACAUUUGCCAAGUUCGUGGGGUAGUUGACAAUGCUAGCCGUAUUCUUGAGGUAAGAUAUUAAUUAAGCUCUUAGUCUUUAACCCAUCUGGUUGCUAGAUUCUUCUAACAUGCAUGAACCAUUGCAUCUCAAAGUAGUUGGAAAAAGGUUUAGAAUACACCUCUUCAAGCGGAAGCUAUCAACAGAGCUGAUGUUUGUACAAUUUUAAUAUAAAUCGGUGGAUAUAAGGGGAUCCCCGGACCACGGGACAAAUCACAUUUUGAUUUAGAACUUCAAUACUAUAUGAAUUUUCGUAUAUUUAUAUGCAGAAAAGUAUUUUAUAUAUAUAUGGCCCAGUAUAUUUUAAU
rnacentral:lncRNA from 1 species